rnacentral:lncRNA from 1 species
UGAUUUUCCUUUUUUGUAUGUAUACCUAUUUUUUAAAUUUAUUUAUUUAUUUAUUUAUUUGUGUUUCUGUCCUUUUUAGGGCCGCACGCACAGCAUAGGGAGGUUCCCAGGCUAAGGGUCUAAUCACAGCUGUAGCCGCCCGCCUACACCACAGCCACAGCAACGCCAGAUCUGAGCCACAUCUGCAACCUACACCACAGCUCACAGGAACGCCAGAUCUUUGACCCACUGAGCAAGGCCAGGGAUCGAACUGGAAACCUCAUGGUUCCUAGUCAGAUUCGUUUCCACUGUACCAAGAUGGGAACUCCUGUAUACCUAUUUUAGAUUUUUUAUUUGCUGUUACCAUGAGAUUGAUAAAGCAGUCUAUACAUAUACCAGUUUGUUUUAAGUUGCUGGUCUCUUAAUUUCAAAUGCAUUUCCAACAUCCUGCAUUUGUACUCUCCUCUUCUCACCAUUGCUGUUGAUUUGUGUGUGGAUAGCUGACGUCCUACCUCUACAGUUUGUUUGCCUUUACCAGUAAGCUUUCCUUUCAUUAUCUUCUUGUUUCUACUUAUUGCCUUUUCUUUUCCACCUAGAUAAAUUCCUUUACCAUUUGUUGUCAGGCUGCAUUGGUGGUGCUUAAGUCUCCUAGCUUUGGCUUGCUUGUAAAGCUUAGGAUUUCUCCAUCGAAUCUGAACGAGAGCCUUGCUAGAUAGCGUACUCUUGGCUGUUAAGUUUUUUCUUUUCAUCACUUUAAACAUAUUGUGCCAUUCCCUUCUGACCUGCAGAGUUUCUUCUGAAAAAUCAGCUGAUAACCUUAUGGGGAUUCCCUUGUAUUUGUUGCUUUUCCCUUCCUGCUUUUAAUAUUUUCUCUUUGUCUUUGAUUUUGGUCAAUUCGAUUACCGUGUCAGCAUGUUCCUCCUUGGGUUAUCCUGUAUGGGACUUUGUGCUUCCUGGAUGGCAGUGUGUUUUCUUUUCACAUAUUAUGAAAGUUUUCGUUAUAAUCUCUUCAAAUGUUUUCUCUGGCCCUUUCUCUCUUCACCUUCUGGGACCCCUACAAUGUGAAUGUUGGUGCGUUUAAUCUCGUCCCAGAGUUCUUUUAGACUGUCAUUAUUUUUUAUAAUUAUUUUUUCCUUUAUUCUGUUCCAUGGCAGUGAUUUGUCUUCCAGCUCACUGAUUCAUUGUUCUGUCUCAUUUAUUCUGGUACUGAUUGCUUCUAGUGUAUUUUUCAUUUCAGUUAUUACAUUAUUCAACCAUGUUCUUUAAAUCUUCUAGCUCUUUGUUAAACAAUUCUUGUAUCUUCUCAAUCUGUGGCUCCAUUCUUUUUAUAAGAUCUUGGAUCAUCUAUACUAUCAAUACGCCAAUUUUCAGGUAGAUUGCCUAUGUCCACUUCACUUAGUUAUUCUGGGAUUUUAUCUUGUUCCCUCAUCUGGAAAAUAUUCCUCUUCUGUUUCAUUCUGUCUGACUUUCUGUGUUUGUGGUUUCUGUUCAGGCAGCAGGAUUAUAAAUUCCUCUUGUUUCUGGAGAGCUUCCUAGUGGGAGGGACUGGUACCUGCCCAUAGGUAGGGGGUCUUGUCCCUCUGGUGGGCAGCUCCAUGUCAAGAGAUGGGUCCAAAGUAGCUAUGGACUCAAGUUGACAUUAGGCAGCCUGUCUGCUGAUGAGUGGAGCUAUGUUCCCACCCAGCUGAUUGUUUCGCCUGAGACAUCCUAACACUGGAGCUUGCAGGCUGUUGGGUAGGGCCAGACAUGAUGUCAAAAUGGUGACAGCCAGGAGAGCUCACACCAAUGACUAUUCCCUGGGGCAUCUGCCACCAGUGUGCUUGUCCUCACAGUGAGCCACAGCCAACCCCUACCUCCCUGGGAGAUCCUCCAAGACCUGCAGAUAGGUCUGGACCAGGCUCCUGUGGCAUUACUGCUUUGCUUUGGGUCCCAGUGCGUGUGAGACCUUGUGUGUGCCCUCCAAGAGUGGAGUCUCUGUUACAUCCAGUCCUGUGGAGCUCCUGCACUCAGGCCCCACUGACCUUCAAAGCCAAAUGCUCUGGGGGAUCCUCUUCCUGAUUCUAGAUCCUUAGGCUAGGGAGCCUGACGUGGGGCUCAGAACUCUCAGUCCUGUGGGAGAACCUCUGUGGUAUAAUUAUUUUCUGGUUUGUAGGUUGCCCACCUGGUGGGUACAAGAUUUGAUCAGACUGCAAAAGUGUCCCUCACACUGUCUCAUUGUGGCUCCCUCUUUGUCUUUGGAGCUUUUCUCAUGGGUUCUAGUCUUUUUUGUCAAUGGUUGCUUAGAAGUUGUGAUUUUUAUUGUUUUGGUGAGAGGGGGUAAGCUCAAGUCCUUCUAUUCUGCCAUCUUGUCUCUGAUUCUCUGUGAUUUUCAUCUUAUGUAACUUCUAUACAUCCAUGAAAACAGACUUCUGACUGUUCAACCAAGGCCUCUGGCAGAAGACUGCCCAUCCUUCUCAUAGAGGCAGGAGUAGUAAAGGAGAUAAGAACACACAGUGACAGACCCUAAUUUACCACCUUCUGCCACUCCAGAUGCCAGCCACACACACAUACAACAUUGAACCAGCCUCCAAAUAGCUCAGAGGUUUCUAUGGUGCUCUUAUUUAAUACCUAGCUUGGAAUUAGUAAGGUUUGUUUUUUCUUUUCUUUUUUUUUUUUUUGUGAGGGGAGAUUGGGGGAAAUAUGAGUAGGAAAUAAUUAUUUCCAAUUCGCAGUGGCUAAGACUAGAAAAAUCUAGUCACUUUUUUUUCCUGCUAUUUU